GACAGAGGGGGCAAGCGUUGCUCGGAAUUACUGGGCGUAAAGGGCGCGUAGGCGGGAUGGCAAGUCGGUCGUGAAAUCCCUCGGCUCAACCGAGGAACGUCGAUCGAUACUGCUGUUCUUGAGGAUUGCAGAGGAGACUGGAAUUCCCGGUGUAGCGGUGAAAUGCGUAGAUAUCUGGAGGAACACCGGUGGCGAAGGCGGCAUCCUGGACCGGCAUUGACGCUGAGGCGCGAAAGCCAGGGGAGCAAACGGG
rnacentral:rRNA from 1 species